rfam:Camelus ferus unplaced genomic scaffold scaffold1931, whole genome shotgun sequence.
GAGGGGAUAGCCCAGUGGUAGAGAGCAUGUCUAGCAUGCACGACGUCCUGGGUUCAAUUCCCAGUACCUCCA